AAGCUCCCUUUCAAUUUUUAUAAAUUUCAGAUUUUUAGUUUUGGAUUUAUGGGGCUUUAUUCAUAAAAAAAGGGGGAUUUUCAACACUUCGGACAAUAACUCAAAAAGGCUUUCACCAAUGUCCAUGAAACUUUGGCCCUUUCAAUUUUUAUAAAUUUCAGAUUUUUAGUUUUGGAUUUAUGGGGCUUUAUUCAUAAAAAAAGGGGGAUUUUCAACACUUCGGACAAUAACUCAAAAAGGCUUUCACCAAUGUCCAUGAAACUUUGGUGAAUUGUUUAUAUCUAUUGAUGUAAGCUCCCUUUCAAUUUUUAUAAAUUUCAGAUUUUAAGUUUUGGAUUUAUGGGGCUUUAUUCAUAAAAAAAAGGGG
rnacentral:lncRNA from 1 species